GACGUAGGGGACGAGCGUUGUCCGGAUUCAUUGGGCGUAAAGCGCGCGUAGGCGGUUACGCAAGUCGGUUGUGAAAAUCCGGGGCUCAACCCCGGACCUGCAUCCGAUACUGCGUGACUAGAGGUAGGUAGGGGGAGAUCGGAAUUCCUGGUGUAGCGGUGAAAUGCGCAGAUAUCAGGAGGAACACCGGUGGCGAAGGCGGAUCUCUGGGCCUUACCUGACGCUCAGGCGCGAAAGCUAGGGGAGCGAACAGG
rnacentral:rRNA from 1 species